rnacentral:rRNA from 1 species
UGGGGAAUAUUGCACAAUGGGUGCAAGCCUGAUGCAGCCAUGCCGCGUGUAUGAAGAAGGCCUUCGGGUUGUAAAGUACUUUCAGCGGGGAGGAAGGGAGUAAAGUUAAUACCUUUGCUCAUUGACGUUACCCGCAGAAGAAGCACCGGCUAACUCCAUGCCAGCAGCCGCGGUAAUACGGAGGGUGCAAGCGUUAAUCGGAAUUACUGGGCGUAAAGCGCACGCAGGCGGUUUGUUAAGUCAGAUGGGAAAUCCCCGGGCUCAACCUGGGAACUGCAUCUGAUACAGACAAGCUUGAGUCUCGUAGAGGGGGGUAGAAUUCCAGGUGUAGCGGUGAAAUGCGUAGAGAUCUGGAGGAAUACCGGUGGCGAAGGCGGCCCCCUGGACGAAGACUGACGCUCAGGUGCGAAAGCGUGGGGGGCAAACGAG